rnacentral:lncRNA from 1 species
AUGGACUGAAUGUCUUUGUUCCCCCAAACCCUUAUGUUGAAAUCUAAUUCCCAUUGCGACGGUGUUAGGGGGGUGGGGCUUUGAGGAAGGUACUAGAUCAUGACGUGAAUGGCAUUCAUGCCCUUAUAAGAAGAGAUGACAGAGCUGGCUGGUUCUCUUUUUUGCCACGUGAGGCUGCAGUGAGCAUUGACAAUCUGCAACCAGAGAGGGCUCUCUUUCUCUCCCAGGGAGAACCCAGCUGUCCUGGCACCCUGAUCUCAGACUUCCAGCCUCCAGAUCUGGGAGAAAUAAAUGGUCUAGCUGUUCACAAGCCACCCAGGUUUGUGUAAAUUUGGGGGGCUCACAGUGCAGCCCCACCACAGUGCCCCACACUGAAUACACACUGGUGAGCAAGACAGAGAGGGUCCCUGUCCUCAAGGAGCCUACAGUGUGGGUGGGAUGGUGAGUAAGUGGACUUGAUAAUAUACAAGAACACUAAGGGAAGAAUAUGUGGUAACAGAUGAUCAGAAGUACUCAGAGGAGGAGUUCCCACUUUCUGGCACAGCAGAAAGGAAUCCAACUAAUAUCCAUGAGGAUGUGAGUUCCAUCCCUGGCCUCAUGUCGUGGGUCAGGGAUCCUGUGUUGCUGUGAGCUGUGGUGUUGGUUGCAGACACGGCUUGGAUUCCAAGUGGCUGUGGCUGUGGUGUAGGCUGGCAGCUGUAGCUCUGAUUCAACCCCUCAGUGGGAACUUUCAUAUGCAGCCCUAAAAAACAAAACAAAACAAAAAGAAGUACUCAAGGGAAAAGACAAGAGAGGAGAGCCCUAAAUGUAGGCUCAGGAGUGAGGCAAGGCCUCUUUGAGAAGAUGUUUUCAGGUUGAGACCUCAAGGCUAAGAAACAGCCAUGUCAAUGUCUUCCCCUGUGCUGUGCCCUCUGCCAGGGGCGGGCACUCAGGUGGGAAAGAGUUUGGUCCCUUUGAGAAGAAUGAAGGAAGCCGGGAUCAUGGGAAGGGAGUGAGUGACAUGGAGAAGUUCAAAAAGGAGGCAGAGGCAAGAUUGCACAGGGCCUCGUGGCCCUGAUAAGGAUUUAGGUCAAUCUAAGGACAAUAGGAAAAUUUUUUAAAGAUUUUAACCAGAAUAGCUAUGGCAUGACUGCUGCUAUGGGAGAAUGGACUUUAUGGAGGUGACUAUAGAAGAAAGUGUUGAACUUCCAAUGAAUGCAUCCAUGGUGGGACGGUACCAGCUUAGAUCAGCAUGGUGGCGGGGGAGCCGGGGAGAAACUGGUCCAAGAGGAAACUCCAGAAUUCAGCUCUGAACACACAUGUUUGAGACCUUCAAGCAGAUGUGUCCAGCACUCAGUGAUACAAUCUAGGGUUAAAAAGGUGAGGAGUAGGCUGGAGCUGGAUGGAUGGUGACUCCUUGGACCUCAGGGUCAAAGGGUCAAGUCAGCAUGUAAAGUCAAAGCAUACACAGAAAUUAUUUUGGGGGGAGUUUCCACUGUGAUGCAGUGGGUUAAGAACCUGAAAGCAGAUGCUCAGGUCAUUGCAGAGGCACAGGUUUAAUCCCCAGCUCAGAUGCAGCAGGUUAAGGAUACAGCGUGGCCACAGCUAUAGCUUGGAUUCAGUCCCUAGCCCAGGAAAUUCCAUAUGCCAUGGAUGCAGCCAAAAGAAAGGACGGACACAAGGAAAGAAGGAAAAAAAUUACCUUCGAAAAAUUCUAACAUUUUCGUAUCUGCGCCUUUGGAAACUCAAAUGCCAGGGUCCACUUCUUUUGCUCUUUGCAUUGUGGCCACUAUUCCCUUUUCCCCUCACCCCCAGCAACAUCUUCUCUGGGUGAACAGAAACUUAAAUCUGGUUUGUGGAAAUAGGAAAAAGAGAAGAAGGUUUUUCCUUUGUCACGUGAGUGGAGUUGAAAUCACUGAUGACGUAAUACAGCUUUAGUGUAUAUGCUCGAGAAUCAUCAGCAAAGACAUGGCUUAUAAAAUUAUGCUAAUGGAGUUCCCUGGUGGUUCAGCAGGUGAAGGAUCCAGCAUUGUCACUGCUGUGGCGUGGGUUCGAUCCCUGGGCCAGGAACUUCCAUGUGCUGUGAGGGUGGCCUAAAUAAAUACAUAAAUAAAAUUAUGGGAAUGAAUAAGGCCACCUAGGGUGAGCAUGCAGCAAAACGGGGGCUGCAUUAAAAUGAAUCAGAGUGGGAACCAUGAGGUUGCAGGUUCAAUCCCUGGCACUGGCAUUGCCAUGAGCUGUGGCAUAGGUUGCAAAUGCAGCUCAGAUCUGGCAUUGCUGUGGCUGUGGCGAAGGCCAGUGGCUACAGCUCUGAUUAGACCCCUAGCCUGGGAACCUCCAUAUGCCGCGGAUGUGGCCCUAAAAAGACAAAAAAUAAAUAAAUAAAUCAAAAAUCCUCCUUCUAGCUCCUGCUGUUUGCAGGCAAUCCUCAGCAGUCCCUGGCUUGUAGAUGUGUCACACGAAUACCCCCCUCUUCUGUUGUCCUGAGGCUUCCCCUGCUCACGUGUCCAUGUCUUCAUGGGGCGCUCCAUUUCCUCUGCAUCUCUCUCUCUUCUAAGUAAGAGGACAGCAGUCCUAUUAGAUUAAGGGCCACUCCCAUUCCAUUAUGACCUCGUCUUAACUAAUUAUAUCUCAUUUCCAAAACUCAUUUCCAAAACUCAUUCAUCCUGAGGGGGUUAGGACUUCAACACAUCUUUUGGGGGCAAAACUCAAGCCAUAACAAAGGUCUUGGGACAAGCUCUGAGACACACAGAUCAACAUCAGAGGUCAGGCGUGCUGGUCAAGGGUGAAAAGGCUAGCCUUGCAACACCUGUCUUUUCCACUGGGUCUGCGCUGGAGUUCCCGUUGUGGCUCAGCAGUAACAAACCCAACUAGCAUCCAUGAGGACGUGGGUUUGAUCCCUGACCUCGCUCAGUGGGUUAAGAAUCUAAAACUGCCGUGAGCUGUAGUGUAGGUCACAGAUGUUGUUUAGAUCCCACGUUGCUGUGACUGUGGUGUCGGCUGACAGCUGAAGCUUUGAUUCAACCCCUAAUUUGGGAACUUCCAUAUGCAGCCCUAAAAAGACACACACAAAAAGGGGGGACUCCCCCUUUCUUGUUCACCACUGUCCCCCAUCAACUGUCCAUGGGUAACAGGUGUGGAACUAAGUUAUUUUUGUCGUAACUUCCUAAACCACAGACUUCAUUUCUUACAGGAAAAAGUUCACAUUUCCAGAGAAAUUUUACCAGCAAUCUUUGCUUGCAUGCACUUCCUUUUCUGACCACAUCUGAGUUUAUUCAGGGUUUACUCACCUUCCUAAGGCUGGACAGUGCUUCAUGUGACAGGAACGGCCACCACCUAAGACUACACACACGAUGCCUCCGGUUCACCUCUUUGCCCUGGUCGUUUUAUGAACACUCCUGGUCUACUUCAGUCCUCUUGAAAAGACAUCUCUCCAGAGUACACGCCUUGGUGCAAUUAUUGUAAACUGCUCCCUAACCUCCGUGUGCAAAAACGGCCCCAUUUCUUUCGUUUUUUUUCUAAUUCAUUGCUCCAGUGUCUAAAUGACUUCUGAGCCAAAAGCAGGCGACUCUCUUGGGAAUUUUCCCUCCCCUCCCAAGGAUUCUGGAGGUUUAUGGUCCAAGAGGAGCCGGUAUGGCCUCCAUACCCAAGAGGAGAGAGGUUUUCUCAUCUGACUGGUACUGCAGUUGGCUCUCAUUACCACAGGGUGUCGCUGUGGCAGACUUGCUCUGAGCCCUCUGACCGAAGAUGCUGAUUUGCUCUGGAUGGAGCCUCCUAGAAGGCUCAGAUCCCAUUACAAGCUGUUGUGGGUCCUUAUGGAGAACAAUCCCAUACCCAUCGUGCUAUAGGUUAUAAAAGUGUUCGGAGUUCCCGUCGUGGCUCAGUGGUUCUGACUAGCAACCAUGAGGUUGUGGUUUCCAUCCCUGGCCUUGCUCAGCGGGUUAAGGAUCUGGCGUUGCCGUGAGCUGCGGUGUAGGUCGCAGACGCGGCCCGGAUCCCCCGUUAGUGUGGCUGUGGUGUAGGCUGGCUGCUACAGCUCCGAUUAUACCCAGCUGGGAACCUCCAUAUGCCGCGGGAGCAGCCCUAGAAAAGGC